rnacentral:rRNA from 1 species
GUCGAGCGGACAGAUGGGAGCUUGCUCCCUGAUGUUAGCGGCGGACGGGUGAGUAACACGUGGGUAACCUGCCUGUAAGACUGGGAUAACUCCGGGAAACCGGGGCUAAUACCGGAUGGUUGUCUGAACCGCAUGGUUCAGACAUAAAAGGUGGCUUCGGCUACCACUUACAGAUGGACCCGCGGCGCAUUAGCUAGUUGGUGAGGUAACGGCUCACCAAGGCGACGAUGCGUAGCCGACCUGAGAGGGUGAUCGGCCACACUGGGACUGAGACACGGCCCAGACUCCUACGGGAGGCAGCAGUAGGGAAUCUUCCGCAAUGGACGAAAGUCUGACGGAGCAACGCCGCGUGAGUGAUGAAGGUUUUCGGAUCGUAAAGCUCUGUUGUUAGGGAAGAACAAGUGCCGUUCAAAUAGGGCGGCACCUUGACGGUACCUAACCAGAAAGCCACGGCUAACUACGUGCCAGCAGCCGCGGUAAUACGUAGGUGGCAAGCGUUGUCCGGAAUUAUUGGGCGUAAAGGGCUCGCAGGCGGUUUCUUAAGUCUGAUGUGAAAGCCCCCGGCUCAACCGGGGAGGGUCAUUGGAAACUGGGGAACUUGAGUGCAGAAGAGGAGAGUGCAAUUCCACGUGUAGCGGUGA